GCGCUGUGUCAAACUAUACUAGUCCUCUUCUUUGCUCCUUUCUGAUUAUGGGAAGCUUGAGUCCACAUGCUAAAUAUGAACUCCUACGAGCCAAACAUGGACAACCCCAGCAUUUAGUCAAAUGCAUGUGAGGAUGAGCCACCUUGCUAUUCAUUUACCGCUUUAGUCACAUCUAGAGUCCCCAUCUUUGCAUGAUAGAUUAAAGACAUAUGAUGUCGCUCAGAUCAUCUAACAUCUGUGACAAUUAUCAUAUACCAGAAUGAAUCAGUCUCAGAGAGCUGAUGUUUAUGAACGAAAACAUGAACAAAUUCAAAAAUCAUUAAUCGAACUCAUUGCCAAGCCCUAACUGCAAGGUAUAAAGGCAUCCUGAUUCGUCACUUUCUUCAGAUGAAACAAGCAACCAUGCAUGUAGAAUAGCACUCUAGAUUGAGUUGUCCCUUGAUAUUGCCUUUUCAUGCUUGGGCAAGGCAAAACAACUGAAAGUUGGCAAUGUUAUAGCAUGUUGAUUAAGACGCAGCUGCCUUGUUUCCUCCUUUGUUUGGC
rnacentral:lncRNA from 1 species